CCUACGGGUGACAGCAGUGGGGAAUAUUGGGCAAUGGAGGCAACUCUGACCCAGCAACGCCGCGUGAAUGAUGACGGUCUUCGGAUUGUAAAGUUCUUUUCUAAGGGAAGUAGAAAGUGACGGUACCUUAGGAAUAAGCCUCGGCUAACUACGUGCCAGCAGCAGCGGUAAUACGUAGGAGUCAAGAGUUAUCCGGAAUGACUGGGCGUAAGGGGUGCGUAGGUGGUUCAGCAAGUUAGUAGCGUAACUCCGGGGCUCAACCUCGGCACUACUACUAAAACUGUUUGACUUGAGUGCAGGAGGGGCAACUGGAAUUCCUAGUGUAGCGGUGGAAUGCGUAGAUAUUAGGAGGAACACCAGUGGCGAAGGCGAGUUGCUGGACUGUAACUGACACUGAGGCACGAAAGCGUGGGGAGCAAACAGGAUUAGAUACCCUAGUAGUC
rnacentral:rRNA from 1 species